CCUACGGGCGGCUGCAGUGGGGAAUAUUGGACAAUGGGCGAAAGCCUGAUCCAGCCAUGCCGCGUGUGUGAAGAAGGCCUUCGGGUUGUAAAGCACUUUCAGUGGGGAAGAAAGCCUUGGGGCUAAUACCCUCGAGGAAGGACAUCACCCACAGAAGAAGCACCGGCUAACUCCGUGCCAGCAGCCGCGGUAAUACGGAGGGUGCGAGCGUUAAUCGGAAUUACUGGGCGUAAAGCGCGCGUAGGCGGUCUGAUAAGCCGGUUGUGAAAGCCCCGGGCUCAACCUGGGAACGGCAUCCGGAACUGUCAGGCUAGAGUGCAGGAGAGGAAGGUAGAAUUCCCGGUGUAGCGGUGAAAUGCGUAGAGAUCGGGAGGAAUACCAGUGGCGAAGGCGGCCUUCUGGACUGACACUGACGCUGAGGUGCGAAAGCGUGGGUAGCAAACAGGAUUAGAUACCCGAGUGUC
rnacentral:rRNA from 1 species